AUUGAACGCUGGCGGCAUGCUUUACACAUGCAAGUCGAACGGUAACAGGCCGCAAGGUGCUGACGAGUGGCGAACGGGUGAGCAAUGCAUCGGAACGUGCCCAGUCGUGGGGGAUAACGCAGCGAAAGCUGUGCUAAUACCGCAUACGAUCUAUGGAUGAAAGCGGGGGACCGUAAGGCCUCGCGCGAUUGGAGCGGCCGAUGUCAGAUUAGGGAGUUGGUGGGGUGAAGGCCUACCAAGACGACGAUCUGUAGCUGGUCUGAGAGGACGACCAGCCACACUGGGACUGAGACACGGCCCAGACUCCUACGGGAGGCAGCAGUGGGGAAUUUUGGACAAUGGGCGCAAGCCUGAUCCAGCAAUGCCGCGUGCAGGAAGAAGGCCUUCGGGUUGUAAACUGCUUUUGUACGGAACGAAACGGCCUGGGUUAAUACCCUGGGCUAAUGACGGUACCGUAAGAAUAAGCACCGGCUAACUACGUGCCAGCCGCCGCGGUAACAC
rnacentral:rRNA from 1 species